rnacentral:tRNA from 1 species
UCACAUUUAAGUUAAUCCAAACUGUUAGCUUGUGGAGCUAUAAAUGCAUCUUUUUGCAAUGUGAA